GUGUAGAAUUGGUUAGAAGAGAACUU
rnacentral:piRNA from 1 species